UACGUAGGGUGCGAGCGUUGUCCGGAAUUAUUGGGCGUAAAGCGCACGUAGGCGGAUUUGUCAGUCAGGGGUGAAAUCCCGGGGCUCAACCUCGGAACUGCCUUUGAUACAGCAAGUCUUGAGUUCGAGAGAGGUGGGUGGAAUUCCUAGUGUAGAGGUGAAAUUCGUAGAUAUUAGGAAGAACACCGGUGGCGAAGGCGGCCCACUGGCUCGAUACUGACGCUGAGGUGCGAAAGCGUGGGGAGCAAACAGG
rnacentral:rRNA from 1 species